rnacentral:rRNA from 1 species
UUCUGGGGUGUCGAGCGGCGGAGGGGUGAGAAACGCGUGGGAAUGCCCCUUAAGGGGGGGGACAACGGGUGAAAACGACUGCUAAUACCGCAUAAUGUCUACAGCCCAAAGGGGGGGACCUUCGGGCCUCUCAGUUUCAGAUUAUUUUUGGUGUUUUUAGCUAGUUGGUGGGGUAAUGGCUCCCCAAGGCCACUAUCCCUAGCUGGUCUGAGAGGAUGCUCAGCCACCCUGAGACUGAGACGCCGCCCACACUCCUCCGGGGUGCAGCAGUGGGGAAUUUUGCACAGUGGGCGAAAGUCUGAUGCCGCCAUGCCGCGUGUGGGAAGAGGGCUUUCGGGUUUUAACGCAUUUUCUUCUAGGAUGAGGGGUUAAGUGUUAAGAUGGUUUUUUUGUGACUUUUGUUGGGGAAAAAGCACAAUCAAACUCCGUGCCACCAGCCGCCAGAAGCCGGAAGGUGCCAGCGGUUAUCAGUAUUACUGGGUAUUACGCGUACGGAGGGGGUGGGUUGCGCUAUAUGUAAUAGCCUCUGACUCCCCCGGCCAACUCCCUUGGGCACUGUCUAAUUAGAGUGUUGUAGAGGGCUGUAGAAUUUCGUGUGUCGCGGUGAAAUGCGUAGAGAUCUGAAGGUAUACCGAUGGCGAACGCAGCCCUCUGCGUUCACUCUGACGCUCAAGCACGAAAGCGUGGAGAGCAAAGAGGAUCAGAUACCCUGAGACUCCGCGCUAAACACUAUGUAUANUAAAAGCUCGAGUGCUGAGAGUUGCCUCUCCCCUAGCACACCAUAUAUACACCGUCUAAGGAGUACUCGGCGCGAGGUUCACCUGAUAUUUAUUCUCAGGUGCCACACGAGGCCGCUGGCACAUGUGGCUAUUCUUUUUUAAAGCAGAUAUGAAAAAGCCGGGGCUCUCACCUCGGAAACCCUUUGAAACUGGCCACUAGAGUCUGUGAGAGAGAGGGAUAUUUUCAGGGUGGCGCGGUAAAGUGUGUAGAUAUGAGAGAACACCGGUGGGGAAGGCGCUCCCCUGUGUGUAUACUCUCACUCUGAUGUAAAAAGCGUGUGGAGCACACACAAUUUGAUAUCCCGUUAUUCCCCCGCGCUAAAAGAGAUGUACAUGAAAGGGGGGGCCCUGAGCCGUGGUUUUCGAAGAUAACGCCAUAAGUACACCCCCCGGGGGAUACGGUCGCAAGGGUAAAACUCAAAAGAAUUUGCGGGGGCCCGCACCAGCGGUGGAGCAUGUGGUUUAAUUUGAUGCAACGCGAAGAACCUUUCCUUCUCUUGACAUCCCGAGAAACUUCCAGAGAUGGAUUUGUUCCUUUGGGAAAUUUGAGACAGGUGGUGCAUGGGUGUUGUCAACUCGUGUUGUGAAAUGUUUGGGUAAAUCCCCCAAAGAGCGCCACCCCUUUCCUUUUUUUCCCGCCCAUUAUGUCGGGAACUCUAGGGAGACUGCCGGUGAUAAACCGGAGGAAGGUGGGGACGACGUCAAGUCAUCAUGGCCCUUACGAGUAGGGCUACACACGUGCUACAAUGGCGCAUACAGAGGGCUGCGAACCUGCGAGGGUAAGCGAAUCCCAUAAAGUGCGUCGUAGUCCGGAUUGGAGUCUGCAACUCGACUCCAUGAAGUCGGAAUCGCUAGUAAUCGCGGAUCAGAAUGACGCGGUGAAUACGUUCCCGGGCCUUGUACACACCGCCUGUCACCACCAUGGGAGUGGGUUGCUCCAGAAGUA